rnacentral:rRNA from 1 species
UUUGUUGAAAGGGAAGGGCAUUUGAUCAGACAUGGUGUUUUGCGCCCCCCGCUCCUUGUGGGUGGGGGACUCUCGCAGCUCACUGGGCCAGCAUCAGUUUUGGCGGCCGGACAAAACUGCAGGAACGUAGCUUGCUUCGGGAAGUGUUACAGCCUGCAGGAAUACGGCCAGC